rnacentral:rRNA from 1 species
UACGUAGGGUGCGAGCGUUGUCCGGAAUUAUUGGGCGUAAAGAGCUCGUAGGCGGCUUGUCACGUCGGGUGUGAAAGCCCGGGGCUUAACCCCGGGUCUGCAUUCGAUACGGGCUAGCUAGAGUGUGGUAGGGGAGAUCGGAAUUCCUGGUGUAGCGGUGAAAUGCGCAGAUAUCAGGAGGAACACCGGUGGCGAAGGCGGGUCUCUGGGCCGAUACUGACGCUGAGGAGCGAAAGCGUGGGGAGCGAACAGG